rnacentral:rRNA from 1 species
CCUACGGGAGGCAGCAGUGGGGAAUAUUGCGCAAUGGGCGAAAGCCUGACGCAGCGACGCAGCGUGAGGGACGAAGGCCUUCGGGUUGUAAACCUCUUUCAGCGGGGACGAAGCGAAAGUGACGGUACCCGCAGAAGAAGCACCGGCUAACUACGUGCCAGCAGCCGCGGUAAUACGUAGGGUGCAAGCAUUGUCCGGAUUUAUUGGGCGUAAAGAGCUCGUAGGCGGCUUGUCACGUCGGAUGUGAAAACUCGGGGCUCAACCCCGAGCCUGCAUUCGAUACGGGCUAGCUAGAGUGUUGCAGGGGAGACUGGAAUUCCUGGUGUAGCGGUGAAAAUGCGCAGAUAUCAGGAGGAACACCGGUGGCGAAGGCGGGUCUCUGGGCAACUACUGACGCUGAGGAGCGAAAGCGUGGGGAGCGAACAGGAUUAGAUACCCUGGUAGUCCACGACCGUAAACGGUAGGGCGGCGUAGGUGGUGGGGUAACCGUUACCUACCGUUCUCUGUGCCGUACGCUAACGACAUAAGUACGCCCCGCCCGUCGGGAGGUACGGGCCGGCCGAAGGACGAAAACCGUAACAAAGGAAAGUUAGUACGGCGUUGUAGAACGUUGCCGAACGGACGACCGACC